AAAUGAUCAGAAUGAUGUGUUCUCUAAUUUUUGUCAGGAAGUAGCUAGCAAACUAGCCAAUUUAAGACAGUUAACUUGGGUGCUUGACUGCCGUUGUGUGGUCAGAACGCUCGGAUCAACUCCGUUAGAGCGUCCAGUCUGCGCUCUGAACGCUCCUGGAGCGAAUCGCUCUGAAUUUAUGAACAGACAAUCUGACGAUUCUGAAUUUACGAACGACAGGAGCGCACUCGAGAGGGAUUUUACGAACACACUCUUAGUCUAUCUUCAUAAUUUAAUGUCUUUGGUUAGAUCAUACGUGGUGCCACCACAUUUCCAAACUGUCUACGAGCGGCAUCUACCGGAUUUAUACCGUGCAUGCAUAAAUAAUGGCUUCCAUGCAAUGUUGUAUGGGAGAGGGCGCAAAAGAGCGAUCCUGUUUAUUCUGACUCGCUUGCUAACACACAAAACCAAUGACAAACAGAGGCUCUGCUGUUAAUACGGUCCAAAAUUAUCCAUCAACCCGGAUGUAGAAUUUUUAGGAUUCUCUUCCCCUCAUUUUAUUUGACAUAUGCUAUUGUUGCUAACUGCGUCAAAAAUAGAACAUGUUCUAGACCGGGCUAGACAGUGUCGGGUAAACUGUGACAGCUGACUGCACUGGUAGCCACGCCUACUGAAGAGAGCGAACGGAUUCUUGGCAGCCAACUAACUGUAUGAGUUGCACACCAUUAUAGAUGAGGUGUACAUGCUGAUGGUGUUUGAAGAGACAGCCACCUUCAACAGCGUCCUUAUUAUGGAGAGCUUGCCGGACCACCAGAGAACACAUGUGAUGUGGGGGAUCAGCAAGUGUCAGUGAAUCGCACUGGGUCUUCAGGCACAUGGGCAAUCAAGGCUGGUCCUGGUGGCUGGGACACAGGGAACCAGCGUGAACCAGAGUGCUUCCGACCUGCAGCCCCUAUGAGGCAGAGGAAGCGUCCGGCGUGCAG
ensembl:lncRNA